rnacentral:lncRNA from 1 species
GUUAAAUACAAUAACAGGCUGGUGUAGUGGCUCAAACCUGUAAUUCCAGCAUUUGAGGAGGCUAAGGUGGGAGAAUUGCUUAAGCACAGGAGUUUGAGACCAACCUGGGCAAAAAAACGAGACUUCAUCUCUAUAAAAUAAAAAUAAAAGUGAAAAUAAAAACAGAACAGAGAAUCAUUUAAGAAAAUACUUCACCAAUUCACAUCAUUGUUAACAUUUUCAAGACCAUCUUUUAAGCUAUUUAUGUAUGUAUAAGCAAUGAUAGAGAAUUUUAGUAGGAGAACCAUUUUUGCUUGCUGCUUUUGAAAAUAAAACUUUGUUAUUUUAUAGUAGUUUUGUGUUUACUGAAAAGUUCAGAGAGUUCCUAUAUACCCCACACCUAGUUUCCUCUUUUAUUAAAAUCUGAUCUUUAGUAUUAUAUAUUUUUCACAAUUAAUGAACCACUAUUGAUAUACUAUUUAAAAUGAAGUCUAUACUUUAUUCAGAUUAACUUAGUGUAAGAAUGAGUUUGUCUGGGUAUAUAUCCAAAUGACUAUAAAUCAUUCUACUAUAAGGACACAUGCACACGAAUGUUCAUUGCAGCACUGUUUACAUUAGCAAAGACCUGGAACCAACCCAAAUGCCCAUCGAUGAUAGACUGGAUUGGGAAAAUGUGGCACAUAUACACCAUGGAAUAGUAUGCAGCAAUCAAAAAUGAGUUCGUGUCGUUUGUAGGGACAUGCAUGAAUCUGGAGAACAUCAUUCUCAGCAAACUGACACAAGAACAGAAAAUUAAAUACCGCAUAUUCUCACUCAUAGGUGGGUGAUGAAAAAUGAGAACACAUGGACACAGGGAAGGGAGUACCAAACACUGGGGUCUAUUGGGGGGAAAAGGGGAGGGACAUGGAUGAAUCUGGAGAACAUCAUUCUCAGCAAACUGAUACAAGAACAGAAAAUGAAACACCGCAUAUUCUCACUCAUAGGCGGGUGAUGAAAAAUGAGAACACAUGGACACAGAGAGGGGAGUACUAAACACUGGGGUCUAUUGGGGGGAAAAUGGGAGGGCCAGUG